rnacentral:rRNA from 1 species
UACGUAGGGGGCAAGCGUUGUCCGGAGUUACUGGGCGUAAAGCGCACGCAGGCGGUCUCUUAAGUUUGGAGUGACAGUUGGUGGCUUAACUGCCAAAGUGCUUCGAAAACUGAGAGACUUGGGGGCUUCAGAGGGACACGGAAUUCCGGGUGGAGUGGUGAAACGCGUAGAGAUCCGGAGGAACACCAAAGGCGAAGGCAGUGUCCUGGGGAGUACCUGACGCUCAGGUGCGAAAGCCAGGGGAGCGAACGGG